rnacentral:rRNA from 1 species
UACGUAGGGGGCAAGCGUUGUCCGGAUUUACUGGGCGUAAAGAGCGCGUAGGCGGACGUUUAAGUGUGGCCUGAAAGCCCCCGGCUCAACCGGGGAUCCGGGUUGCAAACUGGACGUCUUGAGGGGGAUAGGGGAAGGUGGAAUUCCUGGUGUAGCGGUGAAAUGCGCAGAUAUCAGGAGGAACCCCGGUGGCGAAGGCGGAUCUCUGGGCCAUUACUGACGCUGAGGAGCGAAAGCGUGGGGAGCGAACAGG